rnacentral:lncRNA from 1 species
UGGAGUAUUUCACAAAAUUUUUUGGCCUUAAAGAUACGGUAUAAGUAGAUAAAUAGAAACCAAAAGAAUUAGGCCCAUGAAGAUCACCAUAGAAGGCCCAAAAUUGAAUGUGGUCUAUUCAAGAGGAUAAAUCGGGUAGAGCACUUUGGAUCAAAGGAAUAAUAUGGGCCCAACCUUAAAUGAACAUUUGGCCUAACCACUAAAGCCCAAUGAUUAACCUACAAUUUCAAUAUGUUGAAGUGGAUGAUUAAAUAAGGCAGAGAAAUUACCAAUUGAACCUUUGUUUCAUUCGUCAAUCAAAGUAGCAAGAUUGAAUGGAAAUUUGCAAGAACACGCCAUCAUUAUAGGCCUUUCACCAUUAACAUUUAAUUUGGGCAGAAACCAUAUCAAGGUAAAACCAUGGAACGCAAUUACUGUGGCGUCGCGGGUUGUAGGCUAAGGGCUAUUCAAAAUUGUUCCCCCAUUCCUCCCACUUGUCGUCUGGCGUUCUCGAGAUUUCAGAGGCUACCCGACGGUUCUGGAUCAUGCGGUGGAGAUCACUCUUCAAUUUCUUAAACUCUGCUCGGAGAUUAUAUGGUCUUUAAAUUCCCAAGCUCAUAUGAGGAUGCUAGAUGCUCAAAUAGUAGCAAUUUGGUGGAAAGAUGGCGUACGACCCCUUCAAUUGGAGAAAGCGCUUCUGCCUCAUGUGUGUGCUAACUUGGCUUGUUUUCCCAAAAUAUUCAGCCAUGUUUAGGGUCUGUUUUGGUGAUGUUAAUACAUUAGGAUGGUAGUGUAGAUGAGGAGGGAUGAAGGGUGGUGGCCGACCAUGAGUGUUUCCAGAAGUGGUGGAAUCGAUUUGUAUAGGGCACGCAGAUUGUGGUUGUUCCCAGCAAUUUCUGCCUCUAAUUGGAUAUUUGGGAUUGGUUACUUGUUGGAUUGUGUUUUUGGUGAGAGUCCAUCGAUGUAGAGGGCAAUUUCUUUGUGGCAAGAGCGGCAACAAGAUAGUGGUAUAGGUGAUGAGCGCAACAGAUGCAUAAGGGGCCAACAAUACCCUCUUUUUUACGUGGCUUUUUGAUGUGGUAACAACAUGGUUAUUGUAUCGAGUUCCCACAGACGACACCAAUGAUGAUGUCAAAAAUUGUACCCGUUGAUUUCUCGAGAUUAAGGACUGGGAUCGAGCAUGAACGGAGCCUUCCAGUACCUGAAACAAAGGCAACGAGGUGUGUCCUCGUUACCCCUCCGAUGCUUAAGUCAGACGAGAAAAUUAUGUAAAAGUACGUAUUGUAAUUGUAUUGUAAAAACGUACCUAAAUAAUGGGGCUAGGUCUUGUAUUUAUAGACAUUGGUGGUUGAGUUGUAGAAGGAUUCAACCAUUUAGAGUCCUUAUCCUC